GUAUAGGACUAGGAAAAUUUGGAAAUGUAACAUUUUAUGGUUCUCUAUAAAAAGUAACUAUGGGCUUUAAAAGCUAAGGCGAAUGAGGUCCAAUAAGGAAAGCUUGUCCCAAGACUUGUUGGAGAAGCCUUUGCAUAACAGUAUUAAGUGGCUGUGGCGCUUCUUUCAAUUCAUUUUCACAAUUUCGCCAUUUCCCUCCACUCAGAAAAAUCUCCUUUUGCUCCCUCUCGCUUUCUCCGGUGCUAUCGAGAGCGAUGACGACAAUGGAGCAGCGUAGAAACCAAAACACUGUUCAGCAACAAGACGAUGAAGAGACCCAGCACGGCCCUUUCCCCGUCGAACAGCUUCAGGCGGCAGGUAUGGCUUCUGUUGAUGUGAAGAAGCUUGGGGACGCUCGUCUCUGGCACUGUUGAAGGUGUUGCAUAUACUCCGAGGAAAGAUCUCUUGCAGAUUAAAGGAAUCAGUGAUGCUAAAGUUGACAAAAUCGUUGAAGCAGGCAUGUUGUCAUAUGAAUACAAAUUCACUUUGAUCCUUCCUUUUUGGAGUUUAUGCAUUUUCUUAUUUGUGUGUGUUUUACCAAAUUUGAUUUUUAAAUUUACCCCUAUGCCUAAGUCGGCUCUGGCUGUAACAUAUGUCAUUGUUUUAUUAUACUAUCAACAAAAGAGAACCUCUUUGCCAAAA